rnacentral:lncRNA from 10 species
AUGUUUUCUUUUCUUUUCUUUUCUUUUUUUUUUUGAAACUGAAUCUUGCUCUGUUGCCCAGGCCGGAGUGCAGUGGCUCAAUCUCGACUCACUGCAACCUCCGACUCCUGGGUUCAAGAGAUUAUCCUGCCUCAGCCUCCCCAGUAGCUGGAACUAGAGGCAUGCGCCACCACGCCUGGCCAAUUUUUGUAUCUUUAAUAGAGACGGGAUUUCGCCAUGUUGGCCAGGCUGGUCUCAAACUCCAGACCUCAGGUGAUCCGCCUCCCCUUGGCUUCCCAAAGUGCUGGGAUUACAGGCGUGAACCACCGUGCCCUGCUUAGCCUUCUUUUCUUAUGCCGUGUGUUUUGUGCUGUGUGUUGUACGUACCUGAAUUGUGCUAGUUUUGUGUCCUCUAGAAUUUGUGCAAAUGGUAUUUAAGCUAUCUAUAAAUUUAUAAAGAUUAAUUAAAGGGCCCUGACAAGAUAAUUUAUACCAACUAA